rnacentral:tRNA from 2 species
CGCGGGGUGGAGCAGCUUGGUAGCUCGUCGGGCUCAUAACCCGAAGGUCGCAGGUUCAAAUCCUGCCCCCGCAACCA